ACGAACGCUGGCGGCUGCUUAACACAUGCAAGUCGAACGGAGUGGAGAACGGGUGAGUAACGCGUGAGCAACCUGCCUAUGACAGUGGGAUAGCCUCGGGAAACCGGGAUUAAUACCGCAUAGUCAUAGAUGGGCUCGCGUCUGAUUAGCUAGUUGGUGAGAUAACAGCCCACCAAGGCGACGAUAAGUAUCCGGUCUGGGAGGAUGAACGGACACAUUGGAACAGGGACACGGUCCAAACUCCUACGGGAGGCAGCAGUGGGGAAUAUUGCACAAUGGGGGAAACCCGAAUGCAGCGACGCCGCGUGAACGAAGAAGGUAUUCUUAUCGUAAAGUUCUGUCCAAUGGAAGCAGUACCAUAGAAGAAAGCUCCGGCUAAAUACGUGCCAGCAGCAGCGGUAAUUC
rnacentral:rRNA from 1 species